AGUCUUUGCGGAAGUUUACUUUUGUGAAGACUUAGUGGCGGACGGGUGAGUAACACGUGGGUAAUCUGCCUGAGAGACUGGGACAACAGGGGGAAACCGCUGCUAAUACCAGAUAAGCUCACAGCUUCGCAUGAAGCAGUGUGAAAAACUCCGGUGGUACAAGAUGGACCCGCGUCUGAUUAGCUGGUUGGUGAGGUAACGGCCCACCAAGGCGACGAUCAGUAGCCGGCCUGAGAGGGUGAACGGCCACAUUGGGACUGAGACACGGCCCAAACUCC
rnacentral:rRNA from 1 species